CUCAGCAAAUUGGUCUCCAAAAAACCAAAGCAGUGGGACAAACACCUUGAUGCUAUUAUGUUUGGCCUAAGGACCAAAAAACAGAUGACGACAAAGUUAUCUCCAUUUCAAAUGAUGUUUGGUCGUGAGGCACGAUACCCCUCUGAGGUCCCUGAAGAUUAUCAGAUUGACAGCUCUGUUGAAGCAUUCAUGGGAAUUGAAGAAAUGACUGAAGGUGUCCUGAAACUUGAUGAAGUUCUUCAAACCGCUCUUACCCACACUGCUCAGGUCCAAAAACGAAUGACAAGGAAGGAACAGAAAGCACAGAAAGUGAAAUUCUCUGUGGGCAAUAAGAGUGGCUUCGUCACAUGUCACCACGUCUGCAUAUGUGACAUCAUCACCUACCAUCUCCAGAGUGACUGCGUCAGCUGUCGCUGCAUCUACAUCUUUGACAUCAUCACAUACCAUCUCCAGAGUGGCUGCAUCAUCUUCCUCCUCAUCUGUGACAUCAGCACCUUCCAUCUCCAGAGUGGCUGCAUCACCUACCUACUCAUCUGUGACAUCAGCACCUACUACCACAGCAACGACAGUACAGCACCAUCUCAUCAGUAUUGUUCAAGAGGCAUGGGCAGGAAAAAAUGUCUAUGUGCUGCUCUCCAAAAUUGGGCCAUAUAAAAUAUUUUUUGCAGACAUUAGUAAAACUGCUCCACAAAAAGAACUUGAAAGUGAGGUUAUUAAUGCAUACAUGUGUCUUCUUGUGAGGCGUUUCAAUGCACAGUCAAAAGAACAAGCAUUCCAAAUUGACUCAUUCGAAAUGACAGACAUUUGGAAUGGAAAAAAUUCGAAAUUAAAGGUCGAUCCCAGAUUGUACAGAUACCUCAUUAGCAUUGUGAAUGACCACUACCACUGGACAGUUGUGGGCUUUUAUGCGACAAAAGGGAUGCAAUUUUUCAAGGUGGUCCUGUGAUACGCUGCCUCACCCAAAACAACAAGAUGGCACAUCCUGCGGUGUCUUUGCUUUGAAAUUUGCCGAAUGUGUACUCCGAGAGGAGACAAUUGUUUUCCGUAACACACCAGAAGGAGUGGAAGAAUUGAGGAAAGCAAUAGCUGUCACUCUUCUCCAAAACAGCGAUGACCUGAGCCAGCUGUGCCAUCUCUGUGGGGAGGAAAGUGGUGAUAUUAACUGGAUUGCCUGUGACUGCUGCAGUCGGUGGUACCACCAAUCAUGUGUCCAGUGGACAUCAAAAGUGAACUUUCUGUGUCCUGCCUGUGAAAAUUAACCAGAUAUUGUAGCUUUCUUUUCUUUCAUUCAAACAAUGGAUGGUACUGUACCAGUGUACUUAUUUUCUGUUUUAAUGGAUGGUUCAUACAUUCAAAAGUUCUGUUAUUACCCCCAUGAACAACAAACCUGUCUGUACAAAUCAUAAUAAAUUUAACAGAAUAAAAUACUGCAUUGAAUAUUAUUACUUGUGUAGGUGCAUCACACCCAUGUUAGUGACUCUCUGUGUAUUCACACAGAAGAAAAUAAUGCCCAAAUAAUACCCUAAUAGAAUGUGUCACAUUUAACAUUUACAUUUAGUAAUUUAGCAGACGCUUUUAUCCAAAGCGACUUACAGAUGAGGGAAACAAUGGAAGCAAUUGGAACAACAUGAGGACAACAAAAAGCAUGAGUGCAAUAAAAAACUGGUCUCAUAUACUGUAGACUACCACAGUAUACAGAGCUAGAAUUUUUUUAAAAGAGUACAUACUAUAUUACAUAUGUAGGUUCAUCAGAUUCAUUUGAGCGACUUUUUGUGCAUUCACACAGAAGAAACGGGGGUAGAAUCCAGGCGUGUGGGUAAAAAUGAACCUGCUCAAAUAAUACCCCCCCCCAAAAUACUAAAG